rnacentral:rRNA from 1 species
UACGUAGGGGCAAGCGUUGUCCGGAUUUAUUGGGCGUAAAGAGCGUGUAGGCGGUUAGGUAGGUCCGUUGUGAAACUCGAGGCUCAACCUCGAGACGCCGAUGGAAACCAUCUGACUAGAGUCCGGAAGAGGAGAGUGGAAUUCCGUGGUGUAGCGGUGAAAUGCGCAGAUAUACAGGAAGAACACCCGUGGCUAAGGCGGCUCUCUAGUACGGUACUGACGCUGAGACGCGAAGCGUGGGGAGCGAACAGG